rnacentral:rRNA from 1 species
GACGGUACCGUAAGAAUAAGGAUCGGCUAACUCCGUGCCAGCAGCCGCGGUAAUACGGAGGAUCCGAGCGUUAUCCGGAAUCAUUGGGUUUAAAGGGUCCGUAGGCGGGCCAUUAAGUCAGGGGUGAAAGUCUGCGGCUCAACCGUAGAAUUGCCCUUGAUACUGGUGGUCUUGAGUUAUGGUGAAGUAACUAGAAUAUGUAGUGUAGCGGUGAAAUGCAUAGAUAUUACAUAGAAUACCGAUUGCGAAGGCAGGUUACUAACCAUAUACUGACGCUGAUGGACGAAAGCGUGGGGAGCGAACAGGAUUAGAUACCCUGGUAGUCCACGCCGUAAACGAUGGAUACUAGCUGUCCGGAUGCAAAUCUGGGCGGCCAAGCGAAAGUGAUAAGUAUCCCACCUGGGGAGUACGUCCGCAAGGAUGAAACUCAAAGGAAUUGACGGGGGCCCGCACAAGCGGUGGAGCAUGUGGUUUAAUUCGAUGAUACGCGAGGAACCUUACCAGGGCUUAAAUGUGGUCUGACAGCUUUAGAGAUAGAGCCUCCUUCGGGCAGAUCACAAGGUGCUGCAUGGUUGUCGUCAGCUCGUGCCGUGAGGUGUCAGGUUAAGUCCUAUAACGAGCGCAACCCCUGCCGUUAGUUGCCAGCAUGUAAAGAUGGGGACUCUAACGGGACUGCCGGUGCAAACCGCGAGGAAGGUGGGGAUGACGUCAAAUCAUCACGGCCCUUACGUCCUGGGCCACACACGUGCUACAAUGGCCGGUACAGAGAGCAGCCACUGGGCAACCAGGAGCGAAUCUAUAAAACCGGUCACAGUUCGGAUCGGGGUCUGCAACUCGACCCCGUGAAGCUGGAAUCGCUAGUAAUCGGAUAUCAGCCAUGAUCCGGUGAAUACGUUCCCGGGCCUUGUACACACCGCCCGUCAAGCCAUGGAAGCCGGGAGUGCCUGAAGUCCGUCAC